AGUGAACGCUGGCGGUAGGCCUAAUACAUGCAAGUCGAACGGAAACACAGGAAGCGCUUGCUCCUACCGGUGGCGGGUGGCGGAUGGGUGACGCGUACAUCACAAACUACUUUUACUGGGGGGACAACGUAGGGAAAGUUACACUACUAGCGAAUAUGAUCUACGGCUGGAUUCAAUGGAGCUUCGCACCUUUCGUGUCUCAUUUAGACGAUGUCGCAUUAGCUAGUUGGGUGGGUAAAGGCCCACCAAGGCAACGAUCCGUAGCCGGUCUGAGAGGAUGAUCAGCCACACUGGAACUGAGACACGGUCCAGACUCCUACGGGAGGCAGCAGUGGGGAAUCUUCGACAAUGGGCGAAAGCCUGAUGCAGCCACGCCGCGUGAGUGAUGAAGGUCUUCGGGUUGUAAAGCUCUGUUAUUAGGGAAGAAAAACUGUAUGAGAAUCUCUCGCCGUCCUGACGGUACCUAAAGAGUAAGCACCGGCUAACUACGUG
rnacentral:rRNA from 1 species